UACGUAGGGACCGAGCGUUGUCCGGAUUCAUUGGGCGUAAAGAGCUCGUAGGCGGCUGUUCAAGUCGAACGUGAAAACUCGGGGCUCAACUCCGAGCCUGCGUUCGAUACUGGAUGGCUAGAGUCUGGUAGGGGGGGAUCUGGAAUUCCUGGUGUAGCGGUGGAAUGCGCAGAUAUCAGGAGGAACACCGGUGGCGAAGGCGGCAUCCUGGACCGACACUGACGUGAGGAGCGAAAGCCAGGGGAGCAAAACGGGG
rnacentral:rRNA from 1 species